GGCAACUUGGCCGAGCGGUCUAAGGCGCCGCACUCAAGUUGCGGUCUCGAAAGAGGCGUAGGUUCGAGUCCUACAGUUGUCA
rnacentral:tRNA from 1 species